AGUGAACGCUGGCGGUAGGCCUAACACAUGCAAGUCGAACGGCAGCACAGUAAGAGCUUGCCCUUACGGGUGGCGAGUGGCGGACGGGUGAGGAAUACAUCGGAAUCUACUUUUUCGUGGGGGAUAACGUAGGGAAACUUACGCUAAUACCGCAUACGACCUACGGGUGAAAGCAGGGGAUCUUCGGGCCUUGCGCGAUUGAAUGAGCCGAUGUCGGAUUAGCUAGUUGGCGGGGUAAAGGCCCACCAAGGCGACGAUCCGUAGCUGGUCUGAGAGGAUGAUCAGCCACACUGGAACUGAGACACGGUCCAGACUCCUACGGGAGGCAGCAGUGGGGAAUAUUGGACAAUGGGCGCAAGCCUGAUCCAGCCAUACCGCGUGGGUGAAGAAGGCCUCCGGGUUGUAAAGCCCUUUUGUUGGGAAAGAAAAGCAGCAGGUUAAUACCCCGCUGUUCUGACGGUACCCAAAGAAUAAGCACCGGCUAACUUCGUG
rnacentral:rRNA from 1 species